CUGAGUUUUCUAUCUCUUCAGUGCCUCUUUCAACAAUGAAGAUCAAACCAGGUACUGAGGUAGUGGGAGUGCUCAUCUAGUUUUUGGCUUUUAGUUUUGUGCAAAUAUCUGCUGAGUGAACUACUUAUUUGAAAAUACAUCAUUGGUUAAUAUUCCCUUUUGCUCAUUGAAAUCUCAAAGACUACAGACCCCGCACAAGACAUUCUGACAUUCCCGUCUUUGAAAUGAAUGACAGCAAUGAUAAAUAUGGCUCACCUCCAGAGAUACAGAUCUCACAACUUCAUAUUUUUAAUAUAAAUUAUUAAUCUGAGGUGUGGUGCAAUUCCAUUAGAUGAAAGAGAUCUACACAUUCAGAAGCACAUGAUUCUUCCCCCUUCCAUGAUUCCAGUGGCCAAUAGACAAACUACAAUAAAGCCAUGCCCUGACUGGAUGUGCCUAACAUUUGUCUGGUGCUUAAAGGAGUUGGCUGCAUGCGUGGGAUGGAGAAGGAUUCAACAUUUAAUGGCAGUUAGAAUCAAAUUUUUAACUCAAGAAGGCAGAAGGAAUCCACCUAAAUAAAUGUUGGAAAGUCACCAAAAAUAGUUCUCCAAGUCAGAAGCGGUGCAAAAGCUGCCUCAGCUCUUGGUGGAUUUUCAAUUUCUCCCAGCCAUCUCUGUUUCGCUAAAGGUUUCUGAAGACAGUGGGUAUGUGGCAAACUUCUGCAAUUCUAUAUUAAGAUAAACUGUUAGAUCAAUUA
rnacentral:lncRNA from 1 species